ACCACAUGUGUGUGUGUGUAGGAGCGUGUAUGUGCAUGACUAGUAAGAGGAGGAAGGAGGUGGAAACACCAAAGAACAAAAGAUCUCCGCAAUCGUGACCUGCUGAUACACGUAACAGCAGAGCAGAGGAGAGUCUGAGAUAACGAUGUAACAGACCUGCACGCUGGAGCGGGACUGAAGCUCUCCAGCCAAUAGGUGUGGAGAGGAAAGAGAAGCCAAGUUCCAGGAUUUGUUGCUUUCGUCUCCUUUCAAAUGGAUGAAAUGAAUGAAGUGAACAUCUGGGCAAAUUCAGGGAGAUGAAGUAUCCAUGUUAUGAUGUCCCACAGCAUUUGUGGCAGUUGAUCAUCCUAUUUGUUUGUUAACAGAACUUUGUAGCUGCUGAUUAAACAGUCUGAUGUCAUU